ACAAUUUUAUUGAUGGUACUUUACAUACUAUUCUGUUACACCCUAGUACGUUGUGAGUUUCUGUGGACAUUUGCACUAAGGAUAAUGCCAAGUUACCGAUACCUCUUAAUGAUGAUAUUGUAUUGGUCAGAGAUGCUGAGGGAACUUUUGUUGAAUGGCUUUUAUAUCUCAUUGAGUCAUUUGAUAAGACUCAGUCAAAAUCAAAAAACAAAAAAAUCAUUGAAGCGCAUGGUAAUAUUUCUAAGGAAUCUAAUAUCAUGCAUAAACAAAAAAGUGUAUCUCAUGGAGCUUCAAAAAUGCAAAGAGCUAAUAAUUGUCAUGAAGUUCUUUGGUCUCUUUUGCCAAAGGUUAUUGCUAAUAGCCAAACACUUGAAAUAAAUUUUGAAAGAGAAAUCUAUUGUAAAGACAGUUGGAAAUAUCAUAGAAAUACUAUUUUGGAGAUACUUGAUCGAGAAUGGGCAAGUACUUUUGCUAUCAAUACUUGAAUAAGGGCUUUAAACAGCUUUCAUGAUCACAAAGAGCUCCCCUUUUCUAGAAAUAAAUAUUUCUCAAAGAGUUAUCAACGGAUAAA